GAGAGAGAAUGCUAAUGAGCUGUGAAAUGACCAAAGAUCUGGCAGCAGAAGGGAAAAGAAAAAAUAAUGGGAACAAGAGGAUUUAUCUGACUCAACUGGAGAUGGCUCCCUUCCCUAAUUUAUUGUUGCAUCCUGAAGCUUCCCCCAUGCUGGGCUCAGUGUGAACAAACAGCGCGGGAGAAUGCAACCACUGCAGAGGUACAAGUUCACAGAGGCAGAGCCGCCCCUCGACUGGGCCAGAGGCAAAGACAAACCCCAACCUCUUUCUUGUCAUUCAUUGAAUUUUGCUGAACCUGGAAAGGAAAUAAAUUCCAAAGGCAGGAAGUGACCCAGAGACCAUAACAAUAUGUGAAAAGCUUAGCCGGUGUUUCCGCCCCUUUGUUUCAAACUAUUCUAAUCUGUGUCCCAGGAAGCCUAGCCCAUGGCCAGAUGGAGAUCUGUUUUCAGAUGCCUCCUGGCAUCUGCCACUCCCGGCUGGUGACAUUUGCACAUUUCAGAAGGCAAACCUGUCCCAACAUCUUCAAACUUCCAGAGAGGUGUAGCACCAGGAAAGUCCUUGGGUCUCCGGCUGACAGCACCAACCAGCUGAUUUGCUUCAUCUGCAGCUGAACUGCUGCUGGACUCCAGCCUAGAACACUAGUGCACACCGGGUUUGUUCUUGAAGAUUUGCAGAUUCUGAAAUCAAAAUGCCCUGUGUUGCCAGAAAAGGCUGGCUCCCUUGCCUGCUUCAUAAUCCCUUCUCACCAGGCUUUCCUAAAGAAACUCAAUGAGUCAGGAAGGAAGAAAACAUGUCUGAGGGAGAUCUGGAGAUAAAGAAUGAAAAGAGAAUAUACAACCUUGUGAUUGCUAGCAGUGAAAGCUCAGAGUUAUGACAUAACAGAAUUAAAUUGAGUUCAAGCAGCUUGGAACAGCUUGAUGGCUUCUUUCUGCCACAGAAGGUGCCAGGUGUCCUGCAUCUAGACUCUGACAGCCUAUUGAUUGGUUGGAAAGAACCCAAGGGGACAUGGGCACAGCAUCCCUUCCUGGGCCUCUUCCUCAGGUGGUGCGGGUGGGAAAUCAGGAAGCUCCCAGACAUGGAGCAACUCAGGUGAUCAUGGAACAGAGAG
rnacentral:lncRNA from 1 species